AUUGAACGCUGGCGGCAUGCUUUACACAUGCAAGUCGGACGGCAGCACAGAGAAGCUUGCUUCUUGGGUGGCGAGUGGCGAACGGGUGAGUAACAUAUCGGAACGUACCGAGCAGUGGGGGAUAACUAAUCGAAAGAUUAGCCAAUACCGCAUAUAUUCUGAGGAAGAAAGCAGGGGACCAUUUGGCCUUGCGCUGUUUGAGCGGCCGAUAUCUGAUUAGCUAGUUGGUGGGGUAAAGGCCUACCAAGGCGACGAUCAGUAGCGGGUCUGAGAGGAUGAUCCGCCACACUGGGACUGAGACACGGCCCAGACUCCUACGGGAGGCAGCAGUGGGGAAUUUUGGACAAUGGGCGCAAGCCUGAUCCAGCCAUGCCGCGUGUCUGAAGAAGGCCUUCGGGUUGUA
rnacentral:rRNA from 1 species